rnacentral:rRNA from 1 species
UACGUAGGGACCAAGCGUUGUUCGGAUUUACUGGGCGUAAAGGGCGCGUAGGCGGUGCGGUAAGUCACUUGUGAAAUCUCUGAGCUUAACUCAGAACGGCCAAGUGAUACUGCAGUACUAGAGUGCAGAAGGGGCAACUGGAAUUCUCGGUGUAGCGGUGAAAUGCGUAGAUAUCGAGAGGAACACCUGCGGCGAAGGCGGGUUGCUGGGCUGACACUGGACGCUGAUGCGCGAAAGCCAGGGGAGCGAACGGG